UACGAAGGGGCUAGCGUUGCUCGGAAUCACUGGGCGUAAAGCGCACGUAGGCGGGUCUUUAAGUCAGGGGUGAAAUCCUGGAGCUCAACUCCAGAACUGCCUUUGAUACUGAGGAUCUCGAGUCCGGGAGAGGUGAGUGGAACUCCGGAGUGUAGAGGUGAAAUUCGUAGAUAUUCGGAAGAACACCAGUGGCGAAGGCGGCUCACUGGCCCGGUACUGACGCUGAGGUGCGAAAGCGUGGGGAG
rnacentral:rRNA from 1 species